rnacentral:rRNA from 1 species
CACUUAGAUGUCCGGGGCCGCACGCGCGCUACACUGAAGGAAUCAGCGUGGCUUUCUCCCUGACCCGAAAGGGUUGGGAAACCCGUUGAAUCUCCUUCGUGAUAGGGAUUGGGGCUUGAAAUUGUUCCCCAUGAACGAGGAAUUCCCAGUAAGCGCGAGUCAUAAGCUCGCGUUGAUUACGUCCCUGCCCUUUGUACACACCGCCCGUCGCUACUACCGAUUGAACGGUUUAGUGAGGGCCUCGGAUUGGUCUCGGCCCGCUCUUUACCGGGCGGCGCCGUUGGUCGAGAAGACGCUCGAACUUGAUCGUUUAGAGGAAGUAAAAGUCGUAACA